GGGCCCGGGAGAAGGAGCGGUGACGGACCGCGCGCCCAGGGGUACUGGGAGGCUGCGCUGGGCCCCGGGCAGGGCCGUUCAGGACUCUCUCCGCCUGCAGCCCCCGCCUCCCCCGGUACCUCCGCCAGGAUCCAAGAGGCGUCCAGAGGGGAGCCCAGGCCCUGCGCCCGCCUUCUGGUGAGGAAGAUCCCCUCCCCCUCAAGGUCCAGCCUGGGGUCAGGGUCUGUCGGCCCCCACCCCUUGCGUGGCCUGCGAGCCCCGUGGACUUCGUGGCAUGAAGUCACGCCCCCAUCCCCCCUGCAGUGGGUGAGGGCGUGUAACAGAGCGUCUCCCCGGCCGGGUGCUUGGAGAGCAGACCCGAGGCGCCCCUGGCCUGGCAUUGAACAAUACGGGUCGCCCCCGGAGGUGGCGCACGGUCCCCAGGGAAGGGCCCCGCCCUCAGGUGGGUGGCGAGGUGGCCGCCCACAGAGUAGCAGGUGCGUUGGAGGAGGGGCGCCUUGUGCGGCUGAACUUCGCGUGCAGGAGGAGAGGGCACUGGCUCUGCGGAAACAUCAGACCCGGCCAUCCCUGCAGCCGCGCCCCUGGCCCAGCCUCAGGCUCAGCCGCUGGGACACAGCCCCCGAAAACGGAGACUUCCGUCGUCGGUAAUGGAGGGCAGAGCAGAAGGGGCUGGAGAGGUCCCGAGGCCCUCCGCUUUCACGCCCCUCCCUCCAAGGCUGCAGGUCGGGCGACGGAGCUGUCAGUCAGCAGUCCCCUGGAGCAACCCCCACUCCAGUACAGGCCUCUGGAGCCUUACAGCUCCCUUCCUAUCGACUCUCCCAUCUCCUCUGUCCCCACCCCGCACCUUCCUUCUCCUCCUCCUCCCAGCUUCUCUGAGCAGCCACUGCUCCUGCCCACCUGCCUCUCCCCUCUCUGCCCACCUCUCCUACACUCCUGAUUCCAGGUUGAGCUCAUGGCUCCUCAUACACCUGCUCUGGGACGGGCAGGAGCUCCUCCUCACUGGCCGGAGCUGUCUGUCCGCUCUGUGGGCAGUGCCUGCAAUUAGAGCUUUCAGAAUGCACAGCUGCUGCGCAGUGGCCGGUUCCGCGACAACACCUGGCCUGCUUCUGUGGCCCUCCCAGUGCUGCUGGCCCAAGCAAGCUGGAUGCAGGGACCCCCUGCACUUCCACGGCCCCCUCAAGGCCCAGGCUUCCACGGGGUCUAGCGGUCUCAAGCCUGCGGCUCUCCCUGGUGGAUUCCCGCAGCCCCUCCCUUCCACCUGCGCCCGCUGGAGAGCGCUGGUUGUGGGAACCCAGUAAUCACCAAGGCUGAAUUAGAUUCCGACUCUGCGUCCUGGCCCUUGCCUCUGCUGCUCCUGAAAUUUCUGCUGCAAGGGAAACAAAAGCUCUGGGUUCAAAGUCCAGUGAGACCAGAUUUGGGGGCACAGUUCUUCCUUGGCCUGAGUCGCCCUAGGGGGCUUGCGGGUGGGUUUGGGGACACAGCCAGGCCCUUGCAGACACCAGCCCCCCACCCCCACCCAUGUCACCACCAACUCCAGGCUGUCACUGGCUACGGUGCAAAGCAGCUGCCCCGGGAGGACGGCUCUGGGGGUGUUUUUUCUCCCUCCCUCACUGCCCUCCACCUGCCCAUGGUAACCAAGGGUUUGUAGUAAAGGUGAGAGCAUUGGGGGGCACCAGCUGAGCCUGAGCUGCACCCGAGGAGAUGGCUGCGGGAGGCAGAAGGCACCGCGCUGUGGGCUCAGCCCAUGGACGGGGGGCCCUGCCUGUGCUCCCAUCACCCCCGAGGACUCAGGACCUGGGCUCAGGACCAAAACCCUCUGUGGGGCCAAGUCACUCGCACCCCGUCUGUGAGGCCUGAGCACGACGCCACGCUUUGCUGCUCACCUGAGUCUGGCCUGCGUCCCUCCCACCCUGUUCCUCUGAGGCAGGAAAACCACGAGGCCACACUAGUGAGCAGCCACGUCGACCCCCAGGCCACCUGCCCCUUCACAGACAUGAGUAACCCAUAAAUGAGAGUGGCCUCCUGGAACCUCACCAGAGCCCAGGUGCUCCCGCAGGCUUGGCUCCCUGCCCCAGGCUGUGCUCCCAGCUCCCUGCCCUCUCCUGGUGCUCCCUGCCCUCCCUACCCUCUCCUGGUGCUCCCUGCGCUCCCUACCCUCUCCUGGUGCUCCCUGCCCUCCUUACCCUCUCCUGGUGCUCUGCCCUGCAGGGAACAGACAGUGCUUUUCCUCCGGUUUAGAGAGGAGAUCUUGGAGCCCUGUCUGUCCAUUUUACUCAGCCCAGGUUUUGAAGACCGUUAAGUGUAGGAGAAACAUGGGAACUGGGCCCAGAUUGCCAAAGGGGCAACGCGUUCUCCUCACGCCCCCUCUUUCCCCACCUGCAGCUGCUUUCAUCCUGGGCCCUGGCUAGAGCUGCGUUUGCUGAAAAGCUAUAGGGCACAGCUGCUGGGGUGAUAGUGGGAGACGGAGGGUGAUAGUGGGAGACGGAAAGGUUGGUUGAGAGGCCUGAUUCCUUCCAAGCAUCACAACCUGAAAAUCACCAAAGGUUUUCCUUGUUGAGAAGGAGUGAAUGGCAGCACCGGAAGCCAAGGCCCCUCCCCACCAAGACACCAGCAGCUGAUCCCCACCUUCCCAACCAAAGCCACGAAGCAGAGGCCGAGCCGAGCCAAGGUCAGGGCCUGGGGCCACGGUGGAUUUCCUCCCAUGGGAACGUCCUUAACAUCCGCAGCUCGGGCCUGAGGGUCUGCCACCGGACCCAGCAGCUGCCACAGGUGUCCUGGCUCAGGGCUGGGGCUGUCUGCAACUCCCCUCUCCCCUGAGCCCUCUGAGUGGGGUUCCCCAAGCUCCGAGGGGCUCCCGCCACACCUGGGCUUCCUGGGGGCUCUUUGUAGACAGUGAUUGAUCUCCCAUUGGCUCCAGUUUCGUGGCUGUGUUUCUGCCCCUCCCUCCACACUCCCUGCCUCUCUGCUGAGUAGCUAAUUCACUCUAAGCACGCUCCAGAGGAAGGCUCCAGCCUCGCAGUGGAACUGCAGCCAUGCAUGAGAAUGAUCCGGCACCCAGGUCUGCCUCCACGUCCCGCUGAUGGCCCAGAGACCGUGCGGCGGGAAGGCUGGCAGCGAGCUGAGGGUUGGAACUCUGGCUGCGCCCCUGCUGCCAGGGGACCUC